rnacentral:rRNA from 1 species
CUAACCUACGGGAGGCAGCAGUGAGGGAUAUUGGACAAUGGGCGAGAGCCUGAACCAGCCAAGUCGCGUGAGGGAAGACGGUCCUAUGGAUUGUAAACCUCUUUUGUCGGGGAGCAAAAAGACUACGUGUAGUCCCAAGCGAGAGUACCCGAAGAAAAAGCAUCGGCUAACUCCGUGCCAGCAGCCGCGGUAAUACGGAGGAUGCGAGCGUUAUCCGGAUUUAUUGGGUUUAAAGGGUGCGUAGGCGGACAGUCAAGUCAGCGGUAAAAAUGCGGUGCUCAACGCCGUACAGCCGUUGAAACUGG